rnacentral:rRNA from 1 species
AUUGAACGCUGGCGGCAGGCCUAACACAUGCAAGUCGAACGAGUGGCGGACGGGUGAGUAAUGUCUGGGAAACUGCCUGCUGGAGGGGGAUAACUACUGGAAACGGUCGCUAAUACCGCAUACCAUCAGAUGUGCCCAUAUGGGAUUAGCUAGUUGGGGGGGUAACGGCCCACCAAGGCGACGAUCCCUAGCUGGUCUGAGAGGAUGACCGGCCACAUUGGAACUGAGACACGGUCCAGACUCCUACGGGAGGCAGCAGUGGGGAAUAUUGCACAAUGGGCGCAAGCCUGAUGCAGCCAUGCCGCGUGUAUGAAGAAGGCCUUCGGGUUGUAAAGUACUUUCAGCGGGGAGGCGUUACCCGCAGAAGAAGCACCGGCUAACUCCGUGCCAGCAGCCGCGGUAAUAC